rnacentral:misc_RNA from 1 species
AACCUAGCACACCUGCGGUGUGUACCUGCGGAGGGAUCAUUACCGAGUCUUCGUACUCAAAACAACCCUUCUGUGGACCUGAAUAAAACCGUUGCCUCGGCAGGCGGCCCUACCUACGGGCCAGAUAGUUCGGCUGCCUCCAGGGAGGAAACCCUCCCUGAGGUGCUGGCGCCAGCCGCUGGCCCCAAACCAAAACUCUAGUAACUUUUACCUUCUGAGUUUUAAUGCAAGAAAUAAGUC